AUGAAAGUUGGUGCUCUUCUGACCUCUGCUGGAAUCAACAUUGGUCUCUGUAUACUUUUUCUGUCAUUCUAUUCCAUUCUGAGAAAGCAGCCACAAAAUGUUAAGGUCUAUUUUGGGAGAAGGAUUGUUGAGCAGCAUAAGCGGCUCCGAGGGGCUUUUAUUUUGGAGAGAUUUGUUCCAUCUCCUAGCUGGAUUGUGAGAAGUCUGCAAUGCACGGAAGAUGAGAUCCUAUCUACCGCUGGGUUGGAUGCAGUUGUUUUCAAUAGAGUUCUGGUAUUUAGCAUACACAUAUUCUCAUUAGCUGCCAUUCUUUGUUUAUUUGGAGUUCUCCCAUUGAAUUAUUUUGGACAAGAUAUGCGUCAUGAACGGAUUCCUUCAACAUCAUUGGAGACAUUCACAAUAGGAAAUAUGAAAGAGAAAUCAAUAUGGCUUUGGGUCCAUUGCAUCGCGCUGUACACCAUAUCUGGUGUAGCUUGUUUUCUUCUAUAUAUGGAAUACAAGCGUAUUGCUAGACUGAGGUUGCUUCAUCUUGUUCGAACAAUGAGCAAACAUAGCCACUUUACUGUUCUUGUCCGUGGGAUACCAAAGUCAACUCAUGAAUCAUUCAACAGUGUUGUUGAGAGUUUCUUUACAACGUACCAUGCACCGAGUUACCUAUCUCAUCAAGUUGUUUAUAAAGUUGGUAAACUUCAGAAGAUAGUGACGGGUGCAAAGAAGGUUUAUAGGAAGUUCAAGCAUUUUAAGGGUACCACAGUCGACCAGACAUGCAGAUCUGUGACAUAUCGAUGUUGUCUUUGUGGGGUGUCAUCAAAUUCGUUCCAGUUGUUGCCCACUGAAGAGCAAGAGAGGGGAAAACCUUGUGUGAAAAAUUCAAACUUGAACUUACCUGCCGAGGAAUGUGCUGCUGCUUUUGUAUUUUUCAAAACGCGGUAUGCAGCGCUAAUUGUAUCCAAAAUUCUCCAGACAUCCAAUCCUAUGAAAUGGGUCACUAGUCUGGCCCCAGAACCGAAAGACAUGUACUGGUCAAAUCUUUGGUUACCGUACAAGCAGCUUUGGAUUCGCCGCAUAGCUACACUUCUUGGUUCUAUUGUUUUUAUGUUCAUUUUUCUUGUACCUGUGACAUUUAUACAAGGUCUAACUCAGCUGGAACAGCUGCAACAAAGGCUCCCUUUCCUGAAAGGGUUAUUGAAAGGGAAAAUCAUGACCCAGCUAGUAACUGGAUACCUUCCCAGUGUGAUCUUGCAAAUAUUUUUAUAUACUGUCCCCCCAACCAUGAUGAUGUUUGCGACACUAGAGGGACCUAUUUCUCACAGUGAAAGGAAGAAAAGUGCCUGUUGUAAAGUAUUAUACUUCACCAUUUGGAAUGUUUCUUUGUCAAUGUCUUAUCAGGUUCUGCAAUUAACCAACUGA
rnacentral:rRNA from 1 species